rnacentral:rRNA from 1 species
AUUGAACGCUGGCGGCAGGCUUAACACAUGCAAGUCGAGCGGAGAUGAGGUGCUUGCACCUUAUCUUAGCGGCGGACGGGUGAGUAAUGCUUAGGAAUCUGCCUAUUAGUGGGGGACAACAUUCCGAAAGGAAUGCUAAUACCGCAUACGCCCUACGGGGGAAAGCAGGGGAUCUUCGGACCUUGCGCUAAUAGAUGAGCCUAAGUCGGAUUAGCUAGUUGGUGGGGUAAAGGCCUACCAAGGCGACGAUCUGUAGCGGGUCUGAGAGGAUGAUCCGCCACACUGGGACUGAGACACGGCCCAGACUCCUACGGGAGGCAGCAGUGGGGAAUAUUGGACAAUGGGCGGAAGCCUGAUCCAGCCAUGCCGCGUGUGUGAAGAAGGCCUUUUGGUUGUAAAGCACUUUAAGCGAGGAGGAGGCUACCUGGAUUAAUACUCUAGGAUAGUGGACGUUACUCGCAGAAUAAGCACCGGCUAACUCUGUGCCAGCAGCCGCCGCCGUAA